rnacentral:snRNA from 1 species
AUACUUACCUGGCAGGAGAGAUACCAUGAUCAUGAAAGUGGUUUUCCCAGGGUGAGGCUCAUCCAUUGCACUUCGGGUGUGCUGAUCCCUGUUAUUUCCCCAAAUGUGGGAAACUCAACUGAAUAAUUUGUGGUACUGGGGGACUGCAGUUGUGCUUUCCCCUG